rnacentral:rRNA from 1 species
GAUCCUGGCUCAGGAUGAACGCUAGCUACAGGCUUAACACAUGCAAGUCGAGGGGCAGCAUUUCAGUUUUGCUUGCAAACUGGAGAUGGCGACCGGCGCACGGGUGAGUAACACGUAUCCAACCUGCCGAUAACUCGGGGAUAGGCCUUUCGAAGAAGAUUAAUACCGAUCGGUAUAAUUAGACCGCAUGGUCUUGUUAUUAAAGAAUUUCGGUUAUCGAUGGGGAUGCGUUCCAUUAGGCAGUUGG